UACGUAGGUGGCAAGCGUUGUCCGGAAUUAUUGGGCGUAAAGCGCGCGCAGGCGGUCCUUUAAGUCUGAUGUGAAAGCCCACGGCUCAACCGUGGAGGGUCAUUGGAAACUGGGGGGACUUGAGUGCAGGAGAGAAGAGUGGAAUUCCACGUGUAGCGGUGAAAAUGCGUAGAGAUGUGGAGGAACACCAGUGGCGAAGGCGACUCUUUGGCCUGUAACUGACGCUGAGGCGCGAAAGCGUGGGGAGCAAACAGG
rnacentral:rRNA from 1 species